UGGAGGGCAAGUCUGGUGCCAGCAGCCGCGGUAAUUCCAGCUCCAAUAGCGUAUAUUAAAGUUGUUGCGGUUAAAAAGCUCGUAGUUGAAUCUGUGUGUCACAGUGUCGGUUCACCGCUCGCGGUGUUUAACUGGCAUUAUGUGGUACGUCCUACCGGUGGGCUUAGCUCCUUGCGGGCGGUCCAACUAAUCUCCCAUCGCGGUGCUCUUCACUGAGUGUCGAGGUGGGCCGGUACGUUUACUUUGAACAAAUUAGAGUGCUCAAAGCAGGCUACCUUCGCCUGAAUACUGCGUGCAUGGAAUAAUGGAAUAGGACCUCGGUUCUAUUUUGUUGGUUUUCGGAACCCCGAGGUAAUGAUUAAUAGGGACAGAUGGGGGCAUUCGUAUUGCGACGUUAGAGGUGAAAUUCUUGGAUCGUCGCAAGACGGACUAAAGCGAAAGCAUUUGCCAAAAAUGUUUUCAUUAAUCAAGAACGAAAGUUAGAGGUUCGAAGGCGAUCAGAUACCGCCCUAGUUCUAACCAUAAACGAUGCCAGCUAGCGAUCCGCCGAAGUUCCUCCGAUGACUCGGCGGGCAGCUUCCGGGAAACCAAAGCUUUUGGGU
rnacentral:rRNA from 1 species